AGGUUUGCAUUCAUUCAAAUAAUUUUUUGCCAGAUGUUUCAUGUGGACCUCUCCUAUAAUUGCUGGUUUAUGCAAACAACAGGUAUUGUUGGUUUAUGCAAACAACUGGUAUUGCUGAUUUAUGCAAACAACUGGCACAAGUGGUUUAUGGAAACAAUUGUGGUUUUAUGAUUGAUUUCCCAAUUUUUCUCAUUUGUGAAGUUUUUUUUCUCUCUCUUCCCCCUCUCUCUCUCGUACGCUCUGCUCUUUCUCACCUUCCUCUCACACUUUCAUCUCUCUUUCUCUCUGCACUCUCCAUCUCAUCCUUCACCAUAACAUCCACACAACAACCUCCACCACCAUCUAUGAAAUUGAGGCAAUGAAAUGAUGAAAUCAGUAAACAAUUUUGAAUUUUUAUGAAAAAAUGUUGAAAAUUGAUGGAUUAGGGUUUGGUUGAUUUAGGGAUCAAGACCAAGGCAGCGAUAGUGCCAACCUUGCAUGCAAGAAGCGAAGGAGAAAAGAAGAGCGCUCGCCGUUGUUGAAGGUGAAAGGGAGCGCAUGAAAUCGAAGAGGAAAAGGGUUUCUACCAUUCACGAAGAAGAUGAAGAUCUGAGGGAAAUUGGGAAGAAAGAGUUUGGGAAGAAAAGAAAGGGAGGAAAGGGAAAUAUGGCCGAGUGAGAAAAUAUUUGCCGGCGGGAGAGAAGUUCCGGCGAAGAGGAGGAGUUCCGGCCGAGAGAGUUCUUGUGGCGUAGGGUUGGGCAUUAAGGUUGCAAUCAAGUCGGUAUUUAUGAUCGCACCGCCGAUGGGAAUAAGCACAGUUGAUUCUUCAGUUGCUGGUCUUGGUGGCUGUCCAUAUGCUAAGGGGGCUUCGGGAAAUGUAGCUACCGAAGAUGUUGUGUACAUGCUUAAUGGUCUUGGUGUGAAAACCAACGUCGAUAUUGAAAAGCUCAUGUCAGCCGGCGACUUCAUCGGCAAGCAUUUGGGGCGCCCCUCUGGCUCAAAGACCGCCAUUGCCCUUAGCCGAGUCACUGCUGAUUCUUCUAAGAUAUGAUUAUAUAUAUAGUACCAUAUAAAUAUAUUUCCAGGUGCUUCAACCAAUGACAGAUCAUUCUAUAUGUUUCAUGUGUCAUUUUUUUGUUGCAUAAUUAUAGAACAAGAAUAAAUUUUCCACUCACAUUGAUGAGUUAGGAAGCAGCAAUGCAUAUAAUAUGUCAAUAGCAAAUGCAAGGUUCUCAUUUGAGUGAAAUCUUGCAAUUUUUAUACAGCCAUCAUGCAUGCCAUUCAUUUGUGUAUAAUGAUGUAUAGUUAGAUAUGGUUAUACACGGAUGACUCAUUUUUAACUCUAAAUUGAUUAUAUCUUAUAAUUUUAAUUUCAUCUCUGUCAUAGAUGUUAUUGGUCAUGUCGUUUAAAAAAAUCAUAUGAAAGAAACUGAGAAAAAUGGCAAGAUAAGUAAGGUCAUGGAUGCCACCCUUGAAGAUUUGCAGUAAGUUUGUUUAUCUAACCCGGUUUUGAUAUGUGAUUUCUUGAAUCCAUCAUGGUAAGUGCGAUAACAUUAAUACUCUUUUAUAUCCAUUUAUGCAUAUCAAAACUAUUUUAGGAUUCACUGUUGAAGAGAGAAUUAUGAGUAAUUAAUUCUCUGAUUCUGUUAAGUGAUAUAUUUCAAGUGCAUGCAAAUUUUAGAAUUUUUAGAAGCAAUGAAGUGUUACAACUAUUAUUAUUUAACUUCCCUAUAAUAGAUUACAUGGUCUAUAUUGAUAUCAUUUGAGGUAAGGCUUUUAUAUGUCAUGUUUCAGCUCUAUUAUGUUUCCUAUUUGCCUCUUUGACCUGUCAGCACUUAAUGUCAUGUAUAUUAUGCUCUAUUAUCUUAUGUUUGCUUAUAACAUGUUUGUUAUUGUUAUAACCAUAACUAUCACUAAUUAGGUGCAUACCAAAUAAUUAUUGAUUUGUUUCUAUGUAAGUUUAAAGUAGCACAUGCAGGGAAGAUAUGAGAUUAUGAAAAAAAUACAUGCCUAAAGUUGGUUCUCUUGGGCUUUACAUGAUGUUCAGGACAUACACUUCACAGAGUAUUAUAGUAUGGGGAAAUAUUGGUGGUGUUUGAUAUAGGUUACCUGGUUAUGCCUUUUUUCCUUUUGAAAUGCUAGAGUUUUGUUUGGUCGGUGGAAUGAGAUUUUUAUUGAGCAUGGCUUAAGUGGUGGGGAUUGAAACAUAGAUGAAAAACUUCUAUAUACACCAUGCAUGUUCUCAUUUAAACUAAUGAGGUGAAAAGUACAAGCAAUACUAAUGAGGGAACUUUAGAUUGUAGGAUAUGAUAGAAGAUUAUCAAUUUGGUUUUGGGCCUUCGAUCUAUAUGCGACAUGACUUCCUAAAGAGCGAGGGACCUGGAGUUUGAAGUUAUCAACCAAAUUAAUGGAAAAAAGGAGCUGUGAUUAUUUUUGAAUUAUUGUUUAGAGGAAGAGAGAAAUAGAUUGAGUCUAUGUAUUGAUGUUUUUCUUUAAAGUAUAUCCUAAUGUACUCUUGCAUCCUUAUUGUGCAUUGAAACUUUUUUUUCUUCAUAUUGUCAUGAUAAUGAUAAUUUAUGUGGUUGUUUUUGUAAA